CCAGUAUUUUCUAAAUCCUUCUAUUUUGAACAACAUAUUUCAUAAACUCCCAUAUCAGAACUGCUGAAAAAAAAUCCUAAUUUAAUUGUCAUUAAAUUAGGUGUUGUGUAUCACUGAUGAGCAAGUUUCUUAUUGUAGUACAAAACAGCCAAAAACAAAUGGUUGAGAUGAUAAAUAAUUACAUUUAAUCUAUUUUGGACUAAAGUUUGCAUUUUAUAUACAAUUCCUAGUUUAGUGAAUAAAGACUUGAUUAGUAAUCUCAAACUAAAUGAGGGGAAC